rnacentral:misc_RNA from 1 species
GGCUGUGAGGAACUACUGUCUUCACGCCUUCGGGAGUGUCGUGCAGCCUCCAGCC